GAUGAACGCUGGCGGCGUGCCUAAUACAUGCAAGUCGAGCGAACAGACGAGGAGCUUGCUCCUCUGACGUUAGCGGCGGACGGGUGUGUAACACGUGGAUAACCUACCUAUAAGACUGGGAUAACUUCGGGAAACCGGCGCUAAUACCGGAUAAUAUAUUGAACCGCAUGGUUCAAUAGUGAAAGACGGUUUUGCUGGCACUUAUAGCUGGAUCCGCGCCGCAUUAGCUGGUUGGUAAGGUAACGGCUUACCAAGGCAACGAUGCGUAGCCGACCUGAGAGGGGGAUCGGCCACACUGGAACUGAGACGCGGUCCAGACUCCUACGGGAGGCAGCAGUAGGGAAUCUUCCGCAAUGGGCGAAAGCUUGACGGAGCAACGCCGCGUGAGUGAUGAAGGUCUUCGGAUCGUAAAACUCUGUUAUUAGGGAAGAACAAAUGUGUAAGUAACUAUGCACGUCUUGACGGUACCUAAUCAGAAAGCCACGGCUAACUACGUG
rnacentral:rRNA from 1 species